UGGGGAAGUAUUGGUCAAUGGGCGGAGACCUGAUCCAGCAAUGCCGCGUGAGUGAUGAAGGCCUUAGGGUUGUAAAGCUCUUUUACCCGGUAUGCAGUACCGGGAGAAUAAGCUCCGGCUAACUCCGUGCCAGCAGCCGCGGUAAUACGGAGGGAGCUAGCGUUGUUCGGAAUUACUGGGCGUAAAGCGCGCGUAGGCGGUUUUUAAGUCAGAGGUGAAAGCCCAGUGCUCAACACUGGAACUGCCUUUGAGACUGGAAAACUUGAAUCUUGGAGAGGUCAGUGGAAUUCCGAGUGUAGAGGUGAAAUUCGUAGAUAUUCGGAAGAACACCAGUGGCGAAGGCGACUGACUGGACAAGUAUUGACGCUGAGGUGCGAAA
rnacentral:rRNA from 1 species